AUUGAACGCUGGCGGCAGGCCUAACACAUGCAAGUCGAGCGGGGUUUUCGGACCUAGCGGCGGACGGGUGAGUAAUGCGUAGGAAGCUGCCCGAUAGAGGGGGAUACCAGUUGGAAACGACUGUUAAUACCGCAUAAUGUCUACGGACCAAAGUGUGGGACCUUCGGGCCACAUGCUAUCGGAUGCGCCUACGUGGGAUUAGCUAGUUGGUGAGGUAAUGGCUCACCAAGGCGACGAUCCCUAGCUGGUUUGAGAGGAUGAUCAGCCACACUGGAACUGAGACACGGUCCAGACUCCUACGGGAGGCAGCAGUGGGGAAUAUUGGACAAUGGGCGCAAGCCUGAUCCAGCCAUGCCGCGUGUGUGAAGAAGGCCUUCGGGUUGUAUAGCACUUUCAGUAGGGAGGAAGCGUUGUGUGUUAAUAGUACACAGCGUUGACGUUACCUCAGAAGAAGCACCGGCUAACUCUGUGCCAGCCGCCGCAGUAAGAC
rnacentral:rRNA from 1 species